AUGCAGGGGGAAUUUUCUGAGAGGUGGCACAAGGAGACUUCUUCUUUCCACUUUCCUGUUGAGGAGAUGACGAUCACACUUGAUGACGUGGCUUGCUCGCUCCACCUACCUAUCAGAUGGAGGUUACUUAACCAUUACAAGGUAUCACGAGCUGAGGCGAUUGUAUGGAUGGUCAAAUAUUUGGGAGAUGAUCCAUUUAAGGUAACUGACGAGUGCAAAACAACUAAUGGGUCGCAUGCAAAAUUCUCCACCUUGAGCGACUUAUAUAAAGAAUACCAAGUUACAGUAGUAGGGGCCGAGGAUGAGGGUGACGAGGUUUUUAUUCAGUACCACAUAGAUUGUGUUUUGGGGUGUUACUUCAUGUUAUUGGUUGACUUGUCCCUCUUUGUGGACAAAAGUGCAACCUACGUGGAUGUGAUUGAUAACGUGAAAUUAUAUCGAAUUUUCUGGCUCGAUUUGCAUGCAUUUUAUUAUCGUUUUUAUUUAUUUAUGUCAUAUUAUGCUGGUAUUUUAUUGUAUUUCAAGUAUAUUCUAGAAAUGAACCUA